rnacentral:tRNA from 1 species
UGUAGCCUAGUGGUAAAGUGUUUGCCUAGCAUGUAAAAGGCCCUGGGUUCAACCCCAGUA